rnacentral:rRNA from 1 species
ACACGACUACAUUAGAUACCCCCGUAGUCCCAGCCCUAAACGAUGCGCGUUAGGUGUAUCGGUGACCACGAGUCACCGAGGUGCCGAAGGGAAACCGUGAAACGUGCCGCCUGGGAAGUACGGUCGCAAGACUGAAACUUAAAGGAAUUGGCGGGGAGCACCACAACGGGUGGAGCCUGCGGUUUAAUUGGACUCAACGCCGGGAAGCUCACCGGAUAAGACAGCGGAAUGAUUGCCGGGCUGAAGACCCUGCAUGACCAGCUG